GACGCGGCGGCCCCGCCCACGCCGCGGGAAGUGGGGGCCCGACCCCGUUGGCAGCGCCGAUUCCCGCGGCUGUGGGUCCGCCGAGGCUGAGGGGAAUGGCCGCACUCACGGCAGAAGCGCGGCUGGCCCCGGGCCGGCCACAGACGCCGUGCCGACUCAGACGGCGUCGCUCCAAAACCCCGCGAGCCCCCCCGCCGUGGCGGGGAGCGGACAGUGCUGUCGCCGCGGGGCAAACGAGCGGAAGGAGCUGCGGGGGGAGCUACACUGGCCACCACAGCCGGCGCAGGCCCAAGGCAGGCGGAGAGCUUCAAGGACGCUGUCUGUUGCUGUUGGACACUAAAUGAAUCACACAGACACACUUUGAGGUGUGGUGAAGGAAAGGCGACUACUUUAUUUUUUCUCUCAGUAUUUAUAAAUUUCUGACCAUGGCCAGGGGUUGGAUAGUCAGGUUAACACUUUCUCAACUGCACUGUCUGUGAGAGAUGUCUAUCAAAAGAUGUGUAUCAGAAAGAAUGUAUACACAUCUAUGUUUACAGUCACUGUCCUGGGAAAGCUUUUAGAAACUAUGUCAACAAGAUCAAAAAACUGAGUUUUCAGAGCGACAACUGUCCUUAGAAUUGUCACCUGGAUUGAGAGCUGGGUUGUGCAGACAGGCUUUGACUAAAAUACCAUGCCCUUGCUUUGUUAAAAUGUUUUCCUACA